rnacentral:rRNA from 1 species
GACGAACGCUGGCGGCGUGCUUAAUACAUGCAAGUCGAACGGAAAGGCCCUGCUUUUGUGGGGUGCUCGAGUGGCGAACGGGUGAGUAACACGUGAGUAACCUGCCCUUGACUUUGGGAUAACUUCAGGAAACUGGGGCUAAUACCGGAUAGGAGCUCCUGCUGCAUGGUGGGGGUUGGAAAGUUUCGGCGGUUGGGGAUGGACUCGCGGCUUAUCAGCUUGUUGGUGGGGUAGUGGCUUACCAAGGCUUUGACGGGUAGCCGGCCUGAGAGGGUGACCGGCCACAUUGGGACUGAGAUACGGCCCAGACUCCUACGGGAGGCAGCAGUGGGGAAUAUUGCACAAUGGGCGGAAGCCUGAUGCAGCAACGCCGCGUGCGGGAUGACGGCCUUCGGGUUGUAAACCGCUUUCGCCUGUGACGAAGCGUGAGUGACGGUAAUGGGUAAAGAAGCACCGGCUAACUACGUGCCAGCAGCCGCGGUGAUACGUAGGGUGCGAGCGUUGUCCGGAUUUAUUGGGCGUAAAGGGCUCGUAGGUGGUUGAUCGCGUCGGAAGUGUAAUCUCGGGGCUUAACCCUGAGCGUGCUUUCGAUACGGGUUGACUUGAGGAAGGUAGGGGAGAAUGGAAUUCCUGGUGGAGCGGUGGAAUGCGCAGAUAUCAGGAGGAACACCAGUGGCGAAGGCGGUUCUCUGGGCCUUUCCUGACGCUGAGGAGCGAAAGCGUGGGGAGCGAACAGGCUUAGAUACCCUGGUAGUCCACGCUGUAAACGGUGGGUACUAGGUGUGGGGUCCAUUCCACGGGUUCCGUGCCGUAGCUAACGCUUUAAGUACCCCGCCUGGGGAGUACGGCCGCAAGGCUAAAACUCAAAGGAAUUGACGGGGCCCCGCACAAGCGGCGGAGCAUGCGGAUUAAUUCGAUGCAACGCGUAGAACCUUACCUGGGUUUGACAUGGAUCGGGAGUGCUCAGAGAUGGGUGUGCCUCUUUUGGGGUCGGUUCACAGGUGGUGCAUGCCUGUCGUCAGCUCGUGUCGUGAGAUGUUGGGUUAAGUCCCGCAACGAGCGCAACCCUUGUUCACUGUUGCCAGCACGUUAUGGUGGGGACUCAGUGGAGACCGCCGGGGUCAACUCGGAGGAAGGUGGGGAUGACGUCAAGUCAUCAUGCCCCUUAUGUCCAGGGCUUCACGCAUGCUACAAUGGCUGGUACAGAGAGUGGCGAGCCUGUGAGGGUGAGCGAAUCUCGGAAAGCCGGUCUCAGUUCGGAUUGGGGUCUGCAACUCGACCUCAUGAAGUCGGAGUCGCUAGUAAUCGCAGAUCAGCAACGCUGCGGUGAAUACGUUCCCGGGGCU